UUAAGCGACUAAGCGUACACGGUGGAUGCCCUGGCAGUCAGAGGCGAUGAAGGACGUGCUAAUCUGCGAAAAGCGUCGGUAAGGUGAUAUGAACCGUUAUAACCGGCGAUGUCCGAAUGGGGAAACCCAGUGCAAUUCGUUGCACUAUCGUUAACUGAAUACAUAGGUUAACGAGGCGAACCGGGGGAACUGAAACAUCUAAGUACCCCGAGGAAAAGAAAUCAACCGAGAUUCCCCCAGUAGCGGCGAGCGAACGGGGAGCAGCCCAGAGUCUGAAUCAGCUUGUGUGUUAGUGGAACGGUCUGGAAAGUCCGACGGUACAGGGUGAUAGUCCCGUACACCAAAAUGCACAGGCUGUGAACUCGAAGAGUAGGGCGGGACACGUGGUAUCCUGUCUGAAUAUGGGGGGACCAUCCUCCAAGGCUAAAUACUCCUGACUGACCGAUAGUGAACCAGUACCGUGAGGGAAAGGCGAAAAGAACCCCGGCGAGGGGAGUGAAAAAGAACCUGAAACCGUGUACGUACAAGCAGUGGGAGCACCUUUAUGGUGUGACUGCGUACCUUUUGUAUAAUGGGUCAGCGACUUAUAUUCUGUAGCAAGGUUAACCGUAUAGGGGAGCCGCAGGGAAACCGAGUCUUAACUGGGCGUUAAGUUGCAGGGUAUAGACCCGAAACCCGGUGAUCUAGCCAUGGGCAGGUUGAAGGUUGGGUAACACUAACUGGAGGACCGAACCGACUAAUGUUGAAAAAUUAGCGGAUGACUUGUGGCUGGGGGUGAAAGGCCAAUCAAACCGGGAGAUAGCUGGUUCUCCCCGAAAGCUAUUUAGGUAGCGCCUCGUGAACUCAUCUUCGGGGGUAGAGCACUGUUUCGGCUAGGGGGUCAUCCCGACUUACCAACCCGAUGCAAACUACGAAUACCGAAGAAUGUUAUCACGGGAGACACACGGCGGGUGCUAACGUCCGUCGUGAAGAGGGAAACAACCCAGACCGCCAGCUAAGGUCCCAAAGUCAUGGUUAAGUGGGAAACGAUGUGGGAAGGCACAGACAGCCAGGAUGUUGGCUUAGAAGCAGCCAUCAUUUAAAGAAAGCGUAAUAGCUCACUGGUCGAGUCGGCCUGCGCGGAAGAUGUAACGGGGCUAAACCAUGCACCGAAGCUGCGGCAGCGACACUAUGUGUUGUUGGGUAGGGGAGCGUUCUGUAAGCCUGCGAAGGUGACCUGUGAGGGUUGCUGGAGGUAUCAGAAGUGCGAAUGCUGACAUAAGUAACGAUAAAGCGGGUGAAAAGCCCGCUCGCCGGAAGACCAAGGGUUCCUGUCCAACGUUAAUCGGGGCAGGGUGAGUCGACCCCUAAGGCGAGGCCGAAAGGCGUAGUCGAUGGGAAACAGGUUAAUAUUCCUGUACUUGGUGUUACUGCGAAGGGGGGACGGAGAAGGCUAUGUUAGCCGGGCGACGGUUGUCCCGGUUUAAGCAUGUAGGCUGGUUAUCCAGGCAAAUCCGGAUAAUCAAGGCUGAGGUGUGAUGACGAGGCACUACGGUGCUGAAGUAACAAAUGCCCUGCUUCCAGGAAAAGCCUCUAAGCAUCAGGUAACAUCAAAUCGUACCCCAAACCGACACAGGUGGUCAGGUAGAGAAUACCAAGGCGCUUGAGAGAACUCGGGUGAAGGAACUAGGCAAAAUGGUGCCGUAACUUCGGGAGAAGGCACGCUGGUGUGUAGGUGAAGCCCCUGCGGGUGGAGCUGAGACCAGUCGAAGAUACCAGCUGGCUGCAACUGUUUAUUAAAAACACAGCACUGUGCAAACACGAAAGUGGACGUAUACGGUGUGACGCCUGCCCGGUGCCGGAAGGUUAAUUGAUGGGGUUAUCCGUAAGGAGAAGCUCUUGAUCGAAGCCCCGGUAAACGGCGGCCGUAACUAUAACGGUCCUAAGGUAGCGAAAUUCCUUGUCGGGUAAGUUCCGACCUGCACGAAUGGCGUAAUGAUGGCCAGGCUGUCUCCACCCGAGACUCAGUGAAAUUGAACUCGCUGUGAAGAUGCAGUGUACCCGCGGCAAGACGGAAAGACCCCGUGAACCUUUACUAUAGCUUGACACUGAACAUUGAGCCUUGAUGUGUAGGAUAGGUGGGAGGCUUUGAAGCGUGGACGCCAGUCUGCGUGGAGCCAACCUUGAAAUACCACCCUUUAAUGUUUGAUGUUCUAACGUUGGCCCCUUAUCGGGGUUGCGGACAGUGUCUGGUGGGUAGUUUGACUGGGGCGGUCUCCUCCCAAAGCGUAACGGAGGAGCACGAAGGUUAGCUAAUCCUGGUCGGACAUCAGGAGGUUAGUGCAAUGGCAUAAGCUAGCUUGACUGCGAGCGUGACGGCGCGAGCAGGUGCGAAAGCAGGUCAUAGUGAUCCGGUGGUUCUGAAUGGAAGGGCCAUCGCUCAACGGAUAAAAGGUACUCCGGGGAUAACAGGCUGAUACCGCCCAAGAGUUCAUAUCGACGGCGGUGUUUGGCACCUCGAUGUCGGCUCAUCACAUCCUGGGGCUGAAGUAGGUCCCAAGGGUAUGGCUGUUCGCCAUUUAAAGUGGUACGCGAGCUGGGUUUAGAACGUCGUGAGACAGUUCGGUCCCUAUCUGCCGUGGGCGCUGGAGAAUUGAGGGGGGCUGCUCCUAGUACGAGAGGACCGGAGUGGACGCAUCACUGGUGUUCGGGUUGUCAUGCCAAUGGCACUGCCCGGUAGCUAAAUGCGGAAGAGAUAAGUGCUGAAAGCAUCUAAGCACGAAACUUGCCCCGAGAUGAGUUCUCCCUGAGACUUUAAGUCUCCUGAAGGAACGUUAAAGACGAUGACGUUGAUAGGCCGGGUGUGUAAGCGCAGCGAUGCGUUGAGCUAACCGGUACUAAUGAACCGUGAGGCUUAACCUU
rnacentral:rRNA from 1 species